rnacentral:lncRNA from 1 species
UUCAGCCAGGAGGGCGCUGAAGGGAUUUGAGCUGAGAGCAAGUCUCAAACUCAAGAGAAUGGAGGAGCUGCCCCGGAAGUGGCUGCUCGAGGCUGCAGUGAACUAUGAUCCUGCGGCCAGUCGCGGUGGCUCACGCCUGUAAUCCCAGCCCUCUGGGAGGCCGAGGCGGGCGGAUCGCUUGAGGUCAGAAGUUCGCGACUAGCCUGGCCAACAUGGUAAAACACCGUCUCUACAAAAAAAUGCAAAAAUUAGUUGGGUGUGGUGGCACGCGCCUGUGGUCCCAGCUACUCAGGAGGCUGAGGUGGGAGGAACGCCUGAGCCUGGGAGGCGGGUUACAGUGAGCCGAGAUCGCGCCACUGCACUCCAGCCUGGACGACAGAAUGAGACCCUGUCUCAAAAUAAAAUACAUGAGCCGA